CGGCGGACGGGUGAGUAACACGUGGAUAACCUACCUAUAGGACUGGGAUAACUUUGGGAAACCGGAGCUAAUACCGGAUAAUAUAUUGAACCGCAUGGUUCAAUAGUGAAAGACGGUUUUGCUGUCACUUAUAGAUGGAUCCGCGCCGCAUUAGCUAGUUGGUAAGGUAACGGCUUACCAAGGCGACGAUGCGUAGCCGACCUGAGAGGGUGAUCGGCCACACUGGAACUGAGACACGGUCCAG
rnacentral:rRNA from 1 species